rnacentral:piRNA from 1 species
UCAUCCUUUGACUAGAC